GGGGGGGGGGGGGGGGGGGUGAAGGGUACUGUUACUUACCCUGAGAACAGGUCCAAGGGACAGUACCGGCUCAGCCGUUUCCACUUUCCAUUGGCUAACUGUUUAUUUAGAGAGAAGACCACAACAGUCAGUCAAUCUGUCUGUUUCUAUCCCACCAGUCAGUCAGUCUGUCUGUUUCUAUCCCACCAGUCAGUCAGUCUGUCUGUUUCUAUCCCACCAGUCCGUCCGUCCGUCUCCCAUGAGAGCGGGUGGAUGGAGAAUGGGAGGGGAGGAGUUGCUUCAGUUGCCAGUCUUGGGAGGCUGGGGCUCCAUGAAGGCAGGAUUGUAAGCAGGCUGGGCAGAAAGGAAGUCGGGCUGGGCGGGAGGUGCACAGGGAUAGGCUGGCUGAGGCUGGGCUGGGUAGCUGGGCUGCGCUGGAGCCUGGAGGGGGUAAGAUAGCUGUCCUGGACUGAACCCAGCCUGACUAUAAGACACUGGGAUAGCAGGAGGAUAGGCUGGACCUGGUAGAGAGAGAGAGAGAGAGAGAGAGAGAGAGAGAGAGGACAUUAAAACACACCACACCAGAGACACCGAGAACACACCAGACCAGACCAGACGGUUCCUGCCGUCAGGCUCCUCCUCUUUUCACUUACAAAUAAGCUUCACUUUCCACCUCCUCUGUUUGUUUUCAACUACAAUUAAUACAUUACUACACAACUAAGUAAUACAUUACUACACAACUAAGUAAUACCUCACUACACAACUAAGUAAUACCUCACAACUAAGUAAUACCACACAACUAAGUAAUACCUCACUACUAACUAAUACCACACAACUAACUAAUACCACACAACUAAGUAAUACCUCACUACACAACUAAGUAAUACCUCACUACACAACUAAGUAAUACCUCACAACUAAGUAAUACCUCACAACUAACUAAUACCACACAACUAACUAAUACCACACAACUAACUAAUACCUCAGAACUAACUAAUACCUCAGAACUAACUAAUACCUCAGAACUAACUAAUACAUUACUACACAACUAAGUAAUACC
rnacentral:lncRNA from 13 species